rnacentral:lncRNA from 1 species
ACACUUGCGCCCUGAGGAGUAGUUAAAAUUCAGCUUGAGGGGCACUUAGUGUCACAGAAGCCUAGAUAAAGAAACAAGAUUUCAGGCAGGAAGAAAUAAUAAAGAGGCAGGACUUCAAGUGUCCUGUGAAACACAACAUUCGGCCUCCGGCACACACAUCCGUGGGAGACGGCUCAACUUCUUUAUAAAGUGAGGAACCAAAUUGUGAAGACAUCUGUUCUGUUAUUAAUUUCACAUACAUCUUAAGCUCCUCAAGGCCAGAAAUGAGGCUUCAUUCACGUCGAAUUAAUGAAACAUGAUUGUAAGUCCCUUGCUUGGAAAUGCUGUCACACAGUUCUGAGCUGCUUAUAAGCACUGAGUAAUCUCUGAAACUGCCAGGGGACGGCCACUUGAAAUCUGCCCUCCCCUCCCCCUGCCACCCAAAAACAAUAUCUGAAUAUAUCACAACACUAACUAUAUCCUGAAAGAUUAAUAGCAGAUAAAAAUUUCUGGGAAAUGAAUCAGACUUUCUCAGUAAAGGAUACAGAGAUCUCAGGCAAAAGCAGAUUGCAUAGUGGAAGAGCUCUUUGGGAUACAGUUUAAUAACUGUGCCCCAGGCUGCCCCUGAAUACACCCAAAAGGACGAUGGUGGGCCAGGAAGGGGGUGGGGAGUCUUGGAAUUUCUUGCAGAGAUGUCUUUUGAGGGUGUGUACGAAAAUGUACUGGAGGUGACACAGAUGUGAAACUGGAAACUUGAUCUGCGAAAGCAUGAUGUAUGUGUCAGGUGUGUGGGAGAAUGUGUGUGCAUAUGGAAACUGUGUGUGAAUGCAUGCAGGAAUGUGUAUGAGUCUACUUACAUGUGGGUGAGUAUGUGUAUAUCAGUGUGUGAGUUCGCGCACGUAUGAGUGUGAAAAUGUGUGUGUUGUGAGUUUGUGUUGGUGACUGUGUAUGAGGGUAUGUGUGUAUGAAUAUGGGUGAGUUUGCAUGUGUGAAAAUGUCUGUGUUGCAAGUUUUUAUUGGUGAGUGUGUAUGAGGGUAUGUGUGUAUGAAUAUGGAUGAGUUUGCAUGUGUGAAAAUGUGUGUUGUGAGUUUGUGUUGGUGAGUGUAUAUGAAGGUAUGUGUGUAUGAACAUGGAUGAGUUUGCAUGUGUGGAAAUAUGUGUGUUUCGAGUUUUCAUUGGUGAGUGGGCAUGAGGGUAUGCGUGUAUGAAUAUGGAUGAGUUUGUGUGUGAAAAUAAUUUUGUGUGUCUGUGGAUGCAUAUGAAGGUGUGUGUGUGUGUGUGUGUGUGGUGAGUGGAUGCAUUGACAUGCACAGAUCUCUCAGGACAGACAGGAAUCAGUCAGUCCGGGCUGGAUCUUAAAUAGCAGCUCAGCACAAUACCAUGCCCAUCUGAGCCAGUCUUGAAAGGAGCUUGCUCUUGAGGUUUUGGGUUUGGGGGGCUUGAUUUUUUUUUUUUGUCAAAUAACUGAAAAUGCCAGCAGAAAGAUUGUCUGGAGGGAGGCAUGAGAUGGGGAGCCUGAGAUUUCUUAAUCAAACUUUCAAGUGUUAUUUUUGGUCUUCCGCUGAGCUGGGACCAAAAAAGAAUCUGCAUAUGAUAUUUACAUCUCAAAUCUUCAGAGCCUCAUUAGCUUUGAUAGUUAUUUAUUUAUUUAUUUAUUUGCAAAAAGGAAUUUAAAUCAAACAGAGAGGCACAAAAGCAAAACCUUUGAAUGUAGUGCAACAUUAAUUAAAACAGGCAGCCGAAGGGUAGAGUGAAAUACAAUGGAAUCCAGAAAAAAAAAAAGACAAUGAAACUAAUUAGACUCUGAUGGGAAGAUCCUUCCUCGUUUGGUGAUCAUCCAUUGGUAAUUAAUAAGUCACAAAUAUUGAUGUUUGAAGAAAAGUGCCAGAAUUUUAACCCCUGUUUUUCCAGAAGUUUAAAAAAAAUUUCUUUAGAUUCUGAUCUUCUAAACUAAAUCAGUCAAAUGAUUGGAUGUUGAAUUUUACAGUCAUGUGUUGGUGACGGAUGGGGAUGUGUUCUGAGAGGCUAUUUCAUCAUUGUGCCAACCUCAUACAGUGUACUUACACACACCUAGAUGGUAUAAGCUAUAUGGAAUAGCCUUUUGCUCCUAGGCUACAAACCGGUAUAGCAUGUAUCACACUGAAUACUGUAGGUAAUUGUAACACCGUGGUAAGCAUUUACAUAUGUAAAUAUAGAAAAGGUCCAGUAAAAUUAUGGUAUAAAAAGUAGAGAAUGGUACACCUGUAUAGGGCACUUACUGUGAAUGGAGCUUGCAGCACUGGAAUUUGUUCUGUGUGAGUCAGUGAGUGAGUGGUGAGUGAAGGUGAAGGCCCAGGACAUUACUGUAUACCACUAGAGACUUUAUAAACACUGUAGACUUAGGCCAUGCUAAAUUUAUAAAAAAUAAAGUAAUUGCACUACAGUAUUACAAUGGCUACCGUGUCACUAGGUGAUAUGAAUUUUUCAUCUCCGUUAUAAUCUUAUGGGACCACUGUCAUAUAUGCAGCCUGUCAUUGACCGAAACACCAUUACACAGCACAGGACAAUAUUGUGUUCUGGGGGAAACAGACUAGCCUAUACCAGCAACUGGUUAGCUCUCAACACCUGUCCUCAAAAUAAUGUGCAGGUGGAUCGAAUUCAACUGUCAGCGGAUAAAGAUAUAUCUAAUACAAGAGAUGCUGGACUCCAGCAGUUAGCAUUAACCCAGUGGUGGAACCAACUUGUAUAUAUGAAUGGAUACAAUCCCAGCUAGAUUUUUGCCCCUGUAUAUUUUGAGGCUUUGUUGUAUGAUCCAUGCUUUGUAGAUCUGUGAAAAACAUUUCCAGGCAUCCAGUUGAAAAACCCUUGACCAACAGUAUAAAAACGACUUUUAGCUUUGCCUAAGCAUAAGGCAGCAUCAAAGGGGUCUGGCUUCCUUUUGGGAAGUUCUUUUGAAUGAAGUGAUCAGUUAGUAUUUAUGCUUUUUGUCCUUCUGUAUUAUGCAACAGCACAAAUGCACAACUGCCCCAGUGGGACAAUCUAAUGCAUAGCCAGCCAGUCACACAGUUUUAAAGUUGGACGCAUGUGUCUUUGGCACGUCCCAGGUCUCCUUUCAACUUCUUUCAGAAUCUCUUUUUUACCACCCUCCAGCCCAGCGCUUGAGGUUCUCAGGAUGACCCUGGGUCAUUUCUAGCUUAAAGAGAGUGGGCUUUGAGAAAUAUCUUGAUAAGUGUUAGUGCAAUUUUUAAAGAUGGCUAAAAUGCUAAUGGUGAAAUUUCAGGCUUUGUGGCAGUUGGAUGAAAGGAAUGUUUUUGAGCAAAAGAUCUUUCCAACGAUCCCUCAAACCUACAAUGCAUAAAAGUGGACUUGUUUAGAUAAGUCAGUAAAUUAUGCCUAAUCUCAGUUUUCCUCCAUGUAAAGAGGAAGAAAUUAAACUAGAAGUAGAAUGAUCUUUAAGGUUUAUUAAAGAGAGAGAGAGAGAGAGAGAGAAUGGUUUGCCAUGUGCAAAAAAAGGCAAGGCUCUUCCUUAUAAGUAGCACAGGGAUUCAUUCAUUCAUUCAUUCAUUCUGUGUGUGUGUGUGUGUGAGAGAGAGAUCUCUGGGCCAAACCCUAUAUCACAGUUCUUUCACAUCAUUUCACCUACCCCUUACAACAACCUUUGAGGUGGGUAUUCCUAACAGGAGUGGUUGUCAAUUUAUUUAACUAUCAAUAAGCCACAGAUACUUGCCAAUCAGAAAGAACACUGAGUUAAACACUAGAACAGGGUCCUGGAGACCCCUGACUGUGCCAGGUAUUUGUUGCUAGAUGAGGAAAGAGGUGGGGAGGAGCCAGGGUGCCUGGCACAAUGAAGGGGAGAUUGGGAAGCUAUUUGACAACUGGCCUGGGAAAUGCUCUAAUUUUUAAACUGCUGGUAUGGAUUUUGUACUAUUGGAUAUGGCUGAACAUCAGCCGUGACUUUCAAUCUCCCCAUUCUGCAAAGGACAAAGCUGAGGCCCUGGGAGGUCAUGAAAGCUUCUCAAGAUAAACCCAUCAAAAAGCGACAGGCUUGAGUUGAAGGCUACUUUAAGUCUUUGAGACUCCAAAGUUGGUGUUCUUAACCAUUAUGCUGACUGUACACAUGUCUCUAAGUUGACCUCAGUCUGUGCCAGGCUGGCCUGGCAUUUCUCUACAAAGAACUGGAGGAAAGUGGAUCGGAGGAAAGAUCUGGUUUGAGUGGGAGUAGAGUUGGCCGAUUUAGUAAGUAAAAAUACAGGACACACAGUUAAGUUUGAAUUUCAGAUAAACAACAAAUAAUGCUUUUGUAUAUUUUUAGCUUAUUGCACGGGAUAUAUGUACACUGAAAAUUAUUCAUUUUUAAUCUGAUGUUCAAAUUUAACUGGACAUCUUGCAUUUUAUCUGGCAACACUACGUGUGGAGGGAGGGUCACAGGGAUGCUAAGACAUUUCAAAUACCAAGACACUUCAAUCUGAAGAAACAUUUUCUUUGCUAGGAACUCCCUUUUGCAAAGUCAAUGAUAUCAGCUGUAGUAAGAACACUUCUAACCUUACCCUGAGUACCUCUUUGAUUUUAAAGUCAUAGAAUGUCAAGGCAGAGGUCAUUUAAGCCAAUACCCUGCCUCACUGUCUUUCUGCCUCUUUCUGUCCUCUCUCUGCCCAAGAAGG